GCUGGGUUUGGUGGUGCAUGCCUGUAGUCCCAGCUACUUGGGAGGCUGAGGCAAGAGAAUCUCUUGAACCCAGGAGGCGGAAGUGGCAGUGAGCCAAGGUCAUGCCACUGCACUCCCGCCUGGGUGACAGAGCGAGACUCUGUCUCAA
rnacentral:SRP_RNA from 1 species